AGGGAACAGUUGCGUAACUUGAGCAUUAUAGGCAUCAAACCUGUACCUGUACAUGACAGAAGACACUUCUAUGAUCUUGGCCUCGAAAUCUAAUGAGGCUCUAAAUUUGUCGAUGGCCUUCAUUUUGGCCUCGACUAUUGCCUUCGCCUUCUCGACCUCCAAGUCUAAUGAUUGAUUUUGAUGAUUCUAAAAUAUUGAGUAUAAAUGAUACUAAUCAUAUAUUUUAAAAAUAGAUAUAGAAUUUUAUAAAUAUUUAUAAUGAAGAAAUCAUUCUUGAAAGAAAUCCUUUCAAAAAGUC
rnacentral:lncRNA from 1 species